UGGGUGGAUGAGUGGCGAACGGGUGAGUAACACGUGAGUAACCUGCCCCCUUCUUUGGGAUAACGCCCGGAAACGGGUGCUAAUACUGGAUAUUCACUGAUCUUCGCAUGGGGGUUGGUGGAAAGGUUUGUUCUGGUGGGGGAUGGGCUCGCGGCCUAUCAGCUUGUUGGUGGGGUGAUGGCCUACCAAGGCUUUGACGGGUAGCCGGCCUGAGAGGGUGACCGGUCACAUUGGGACUGAGAUACGGCCCAGACUCCUACGGGAGGCAGCAGUGGGGAAUAUUGCACAAUGGGCGAAAGCCUGAUGCAGCGACGCCGCGUGAGGGAUGGAGGCCUUCGGGUUGUAAACCUCUUUCGCUCAUGGUCAAGCCGCAACUGUGGGUUGUGGUGAGGGUAGUGGGUAAAGAAGCGCCGGCUAACUACGUGCCAGCAGCCGCGGUAAUACGUAGGGCGCGAGCGUUGUCCGGAAUUAUUGGGCGUAAAGGGCUUGUAGGCGGUUGGUCGCGUCUGCCGUGAAAUCCUCUGGCUUAACUGGGGGCGUGCGGUGGGUACGGGCUGACUUGAGUGCGGUAGGGGAGACUGGAACUCCUGGUGUAGCGGUGGAAUGCGCAGAUAUCAGGAAGAACACCGGUGGCGAAGGCGGG
rnacentral:rRNA from 1 species